rnacentral:rRNA from 1 species
GCGGGGAAAGGUAGCUUGCUACUUUACCUAGCGGCGGACGGGUGAGUAAUGCUUAGGAAUCUGCCUAUUAGUGGGGGACAACAUCUCGAAAGGGAUGCUAAUACCGCAUACGUCCUACGGGAGAAAGCAGGGGACCUUCGGGCCUUGCGCUAAUAGAUGAGCCUAAGUCGGAUUAGCUAGUUGGUGGGGUAAAGGCCUACCAAGGCGACGAUCUGUAGCGGGUCUGAGAGGAUGAUCCGCCACACUGGGACUGAGACACGGCCCAGACUCCUACGGGAGGCAGCAGUGGGGAAUAUUGGACAAUGGGGGGAACCCUGAUCCAGCCAUGCCGCGUGUGUGAAGAAGGCCUUUUGGUUGUAAAGCACUUUAAGCGAGGAGGAGGCUACCGAGAUUAAUACUCUUGGAUAGUGGACGUUACUCGCAGAAUAAGCACUGGCUAACUCUGUGCCAGCAGCCGCGGUAAUACAGAGGGUGCAAGCGUUAAUCGGAUUUACUGGGCGUAAAGCGCGCGUAGGUGGCCAAUUAAGUCAAAUGUGAAAUCCCCGAGCUUAACUUGGGAAUUGCAUUCGAUACUGGUUGGCUAGAGUAUGGGAGAGGAUGGUAGAAUUCCAGGUGUAGCGGUGAAAUGCGUAGAGAUCUGGAGGAAUACCGAUGGCGAAGGCAGCCAU